rnacentral:rRNA from 1 species
GUGCAGCAGGCGCGAAAACUCUGCAAUGCGCGAAAGCGUGACGGGGUUACCCCGAGUGCCGUCCGCUGAGGAUGGCUUUUCCUCGGUGUAAGGAGCCGAGGGAAUAAGGGGAGGGCAAGUCUGGUGUCAGCCGCCGCGGUAAUACCAGCUCCCCGAGUGGUAGGGGCGAUUACUUGGCCUAAAGCGUCCGUAGCCGGCUUAGCAAGUCUUCCGUCAAAUCUAGCGAUUUAAUCGCUGGACCGCGGGAGAUACUGCUAGGGUAGGGGACGGGAGAGGUCGACGGUAGUCUCGGGUAGAGGUGAAAUCCUAUAAUCCCGAGAGGACCACCAGUGGCGAAGGCGGUCGACUAGAACGUGCUCGACGGUGAGGGACGAAAGCUGGGGGAGCGAACCGGAUUAGAUACCCGCGUAGUCC